rnacentral:tRNA from 1 species
AUUACUUUGGCAGAACUAAUGCGUUAGGUUUAGGGUCUAAAAAUAUAGGGUUUUCUAUAGGUAAUA